UCACCUGUAACAUGAGAAUAAUGAUGCCU
rnacentral:piRNA from 1 species